AAGAGUCUCCGAAACCUCCCGAAACCUGGACGAAAACUUGCUGUAGGUGAUGGAGCCGUCUCGGUCCUCGUCGAAUUUGUCGAACAGGGUGCUAAAGAGGCGCUGAUUGGUCCAUGUCUCCACGUAGGCGGGUAUCGUCCGAACAGGUGGACCCAAUGUCCCACUUUCUACCUGCUGUCAUAGCAACCGUCGUUUAUUUGGAUGAAUCCAGAAGAGAUGUCAUCAGUAAGUGAACUUAAAUACAAUAUAACAGAUACGCAAGUGGCUCUAUUUGCCUUUAAGGUGUGUGCAUGUGACAGUUUUAUCAGACACUCCUCUUAGUUCCCCUUUGCAGAGUUUGUCUGACUCCACCCUAAAAGAUUAAAUAGUGAAAUAGGUUGCCUGCUAAUAAAACC